GUUGUUGCAGUUAAAAGGCUCGUAGUUGAACUUCGGGGUCUACCCAUUGGUCAGGCUUAAUUGUCUGCACUGGUGAGAUGGAUCUCUACCUUCUGAGGAACUUUCAUGCCAUUUAUUUGGUGUGAUAGGAAAUCAGGACUGUUACUUUGAAAAAAUUAGAGUGUUUAAAGCAGACUAUCGUCUGAAUACAUUAGCAUGGAAUAAUGAAAUAGGACGGACUGAUUCUAUUUCGUUGGUUUCUAGGAUCACCGUAAUGAUUAAUAGGGAUAGUUGGGGGCAUUAGUAUUCAAUUGUCAGAGGUGAAAUUCUUGGAUUUAUUGAAGACUAACUACUGCGAAAGCAUUUGCCAAGGAUGUUUUCAUUAAUCAAGAACGAAAGUUAGGGGAUCGAAGACGAUCAGAUACCGUCGUAGUCUUAACCAUAAACUAUGCCGACUAGGGAUCGGACGAAGUUAUUAAAAAUGACGCGUUCGGCGCCUUACGGGAAAC
rnacentral:rRNA from 1 species